UUUGUUGUUUGAAUUGAAGACUUUGAGGCCGGAAAAGCAAAAUGGAAAACGGCGUUCAGCUGCCGGCAAAAGUCUGCAUUGAGGCCAAGAAUGAUGAUCUCUAAGGAACACAACCAUAUGAGCAGAGAAUCUGACCAUCUGGCUUCCUCUGCAGCUCAAAAUCGCGGGGGAUAAGAGAAGAGUGACGAAUGUCCCGCGUCUCCUGCCGCCUGUCAGUGUCAAGAUGUCUCUUUUAAAAAUAAAACAUUGUUGAUGGAAGCUGCACAGAGCCAAUAUUAUGAUGAUGUUAAAAGUUUUUCUUUAAAGAAAAGAUGGGAAAGUCACCACUAGGGAAAAAGAAAAAGGUGUUGCAUUGUUGGAUUGUGCAGACAGCCACACCGGGUGGGACAGUUAUGGGAAGGGGAUGAUAUAAAAUCUGUGUAGAGUAAAACGAUUGUCUUAUCUCUGAGGCUCACAUUGCAAAAUACUUCCCCCAGUCAGGUCUCCUGUCAAUUCUUCAUUGUCGGAUGGAAGUAGCUCUAAAAACUGUGAAAUGAGAA